UACGUAGGGGGGCAAGCGUUGUCCGGAUUUAUUGGGCGUAAAGAGCGUGUAGGCGGCCAGACAGGUCAGCUGUGAAAACUCGAGGCUCAACCUCGAGACGUCGGUUGAAACCGUCUGGCUAGAGUCCGGAAGAGGAGAGUGGAAUUCCCGGUGUAGCGGUGAAAUGCGUAGAUAUCUGGAGGAACACCGGUGGCGAAGGCGGCAAGUUCUGGACCAAUAUUGACGCUGACGGAGCGAAAGCCAGGGGAGCAAAGCGGG
rnacentral:rRNA from 1 species